rfam:Otolemur garnettii contig046813, whole genome shotgun sequence.
GCAAGGUGGGGUAGCAUGCCCCUGUCAUCCCAGCUACUCUGGAGGCUGAGGUGGGAAGGCCACAAGAGCCCAGGUGUUCUAGGCUGUAGUGUGUGAUGCCAAUCAGGUGUCUGCACUAAUUCCAGUGUCAACACAGUGACCUCCUAGGAACAAGAGACCACCAGGUUGCCUUAGGAGGAGUGAACCAGCCUUGGUGGGAAACUCCUGAGCUGAUCAGUAGUGGGAAUCCAGCCUGUGAACUGCCACUGCACUCCAGCCUGGGCAAUGUUCCAAGACUCCAUCUCUU